GGAAAAGAAACCAACAGGGAUUGCCCCAGUAACGGCGAGUGAAGCGGCAACAGCUCAAAUUUGAAAUCUGGCCCCUAGGGCCCGAGUUGUAAUUUGCAGAGGAUGCUUUUGGCGAGGUGCCUUCCGAGUUCCCUGGAACGGGACGCCAUAGAGGGUGAGAGCCCCGUCUGGUUGGACGCCGAGCCUCUGUAAAGCUCCUUCGACGAGUCGAGUAGUUUGGGAAUGCUGCUCUAAAUGGGAGGUAUAUGUCUUCUAAAGCUAAAUACUGGCCAGAGACCGAUAGCGCACAAGUAGAGUGAUCGAAAGAUGAAAAGCACUUUGAAAAGAGGGUUAAACAGUACGUGAAAUUGUUGAAAGGGAAGCGCUCAUGACCAGACUUGGGCCCGGUGAAUCAUCCAGCGUUCUCGCUGGUGCACUUUGCCGGGCUCAGGCCAGCAUCAGUUUGCCUCGGGGGAUAAAGGCUGCGGGAAUGUGGCUCCCUCGGGAGUGUUAUAGCCCGCUGCGUAAUACCCUGGGGCGGACUGAGGUUCGCGCAUCUGCAUGGAUGCUGGCGUAAUGGUCAUCAGCGACCCGUCUUGAAACACGGACCAAGGAGUCGUCUUCGUAUGCGAGUGUUCGGGUGUAAAACCCCUACGCGUAAUGAAAGUGAACGCAGGUGAGAGCUUCGGCGCAUCAUCGACCGAUCCUGAUGUUCUCGGAUGGAUUUGAGUAAGAGCAUACGGGGCCGGACCCGAAAGAAGGUGAACUAUGCCUGUAUAGGGUGAAGCCAGAGGAAACUCUGGUGGAGGCUCGCAGCGGUUCUNACGUGCAAAUCGAUCGUCAAAUAUGGGCAUGGGGGCGAAAGACUAAUCGA
rnacentral:rRNA from 1 species